rnacentral:ribozyme from 14 species
AGGAGGGAAGGAAUAAAACAAAAACAAGGUUGCAGUCGAGUAAAAAAAAAAUUUUUUUUUCUUUUGACAUUGUUGUUUUGGCAUUUGUUUCUUUACACUUGGUGUGUUUUUGUGAUUUGUUUUGUUUGUGUGUUUUUAAAAU